AACACAAGUGCACACAGCAUCUUCACUACUCCCACACAGUGCAGCAAUCCCAGCAGCCUCUACAUCAAUCCCAGCAGCCAGUUGUGGAAAGUAGUGGAGUUUGAGGACAAAGGUACAGCUAUUGCACCAUCCAACUGGCUGAAUGAGACGGAUAAUGAGAAGACAUGCUACUGGCCACCAUUUGAUGGGCAGCGACUUCAUAAGGCUGUCAUAGACCACAUCCCACCAGAACAGGACUGGCCCAUUCACAGGCAUAUAAGAGCGUUGGUAAGACACACCGCAGAGUACCAGUCCCAAACACCAUCAACCACAGUACCACACAUUGCAGACGCCUUCUUGCUACCAAGGAUCAAAUCUUGCAGAGUCUUCCGGGGGUCACUCUGAAGAUCCUCGGAAGAUAAUGAAUGACAUUGUACUAAACGGAAGGAUUCCACACGGGGUUAACGAGAUAUUGCUCCAACUUACUAGCAAAUUCUACUUGAAGCCAGACUUAGGGAAAGGAUCCGCCUGUACACAAGUGAAAGCAAAGGUUGGAGUCAGACAGCAGGGUCAGCCAGCAUGCAGCCUCCUUGCAGCAAUUGGGGUUAAAGGUCUUGCCGUGCCAAAUUUAGUAUGAUUACUCUGCCAU